AUGAAAUGGCUUGAAAGAAUCGUUGAAAAGCUGGAACACAAAAUUAUGAUGGCAAGGAGAAAGAAGCAGCGAAGGCAAACUUACAGAUGUCAAGGAUAAGAAGACGUUGGCGCAGUGGAGUUGGUAACUCCUAUUGUUGAAUAUUAAGCUUUAUUUUGAGAGAUGUCUGCAUCGACAUUUGUUCUUCUUUAGUUCGUAUUAACUUAAUAUAUUUUUCAA